AAGGGUAUAGCUCAAUGGUAGAGCGUAUGCUUAGCAUGUGUGAAGUCCUGGGUUCAAUUCCCAGUACCUCCA
rfam:Camelus ferus unplaced genomic scaffold scaffold1310, whole genome shotgun sequence.